rnacentral:rRNA from 1 species
UGGGGAAUUUUGGACAAUGGGCGCAGGCCUGAUCCAGCCAUUCCGCGUGCAGGACGAAGGCCUUCGGGUUGUAAACUGCUUUUGUACGGAACGAAAAGCUUCUGGUUAAUACCUGGGAGUCAUGACGGUACCGUAAGAAUAAGCACCGGCUAACUACGUGCCAGCAGCCGCGGUAAUACGUAGGGUGCGAGCGUUAAUCGGAAUUACUGGGCGUAAAGCGUGCGCAGGCGGUUAUGUAAGACAGAGGUGAAAUCCCCGGGCUCAACCUGGGAACUGCCUUUGUGACUGCAUGGCUAGAGUGCGGCAGAGGGGGAUGGAAUUCCGCGUGUAGCAGUGAAAUGCGUAGAUAUGCGGAGGAACACCGAUGGCGAAGGCGGCCCACUAAGCAAUGAUUGACGCUGAGGCACGAAAGCGUGGGGAUCAAACA